AUAAAGUUGUUUGAAGCGUCUAUGAUAAACAGAGAGCAAAUUAGAAUGCAAGGAAGUUGACAUGUCAUCACUUCAUUUUUUUGCGCCUGCGCAUAAAUCUGAGAAGCGUGAGUUUGUCAUCAUUGUUUAUCUAGACAUAGGAUAGGUUGUGUGAAAAUAUUACUGAUGUUUAGCGUUAAAAAUGGACCAAAAGAUUAAUGCUAAGCACCGUUUGACAUGUUUGAACGAACGUAAAUAGAUUAUUUACUAGUUUUUUUUAGCUUUUCGGCGUGAUUUUACACCCCCCCCACCACGUUUUGUGGGAGCAUAAUGAACGCUAACUACUUGUUGUUAUUUGGACAUAAAUUAUGAACUUUGUCAAAAGAAACCACAUUUGUUCCGGACCUGGGAUCCCUGGCAGUGCCUUCUGAUGGAGAUAAUCAAAGUUGAUGGAGAAGUUGGGACCAUUGUUCUCGGGAGUCACACAAUUCGUAGAGAAUAACAUCAGGAUCUGCUUAUCAUCCAACGACUGUUUUGUCAAGGCCGAAUACCCAAGUGUAACGGCGUUCGUCGGAAGAAGGGGACCAAAGCGCAGCGUGGUAUGUGUUCAUGAUUUUUAUUAUCAAAAACACUCAAACAAAAAUAACAAAACAAAAAGCCAACAGUUCCGUCAGGUACACUAUACAAAACAGAAAACAACUACCCACAAACACAGGUGGGAAAAAGGCUGCCUAAGUAUGAUUCCCAAUCAGAGACGAUAGACAGCUGCCUCUGAUUGGAAACCAUACUCGGCCAAAACAAAGAAAUAGAUAGCAUAGAAUGCCCACCCCACAUCACACCCUGACCUAACCACACAGAGAAAAACGGAUCUCUCAGGUCAGGGCGUGACACCAAGUGUCCACCGACUCCUCCCCAAACUAUAACCAUUAACACCGUCACAAACUAGUUAGGGCUGUCUGUAUCCAUAUCUACUGAAUAACAUGGAGUGUAUCAAACUAGUUAGGGCUGUCUGUAUCCAUAUCUACUGAAUAACAUGGAGUGUAUCAAACUAGUUAGGGCUGUCUGUAUCCAUAUCUACUGAAUAACAUGGAGUGUAUCAAACUAGUUAGGGCUGUCUGUAUCCAUAUCUACUGAAUAACAUGGAGUGUAUCAAACUAGUUAGGGCUGUCUGUAUCCAUAUCUACGGAAUAACAUGGAGUGUAUCAAACUAGUUAGGGCUGUCUGUGUCCAUAUCUACUGAAUAACAUGGAGUGUAUCAAACUAGUUAGGGCUGUCUGUAUCCAUAUCUACUGAAUAACAUGGAGUGUAUCAAACUAGUUAGGGCUGUCUGUAUCC
rnacentral:lncRNA from 1 species